rnacentral:rRNA from 1 species
AACAGGAUUAGAUACCCUGGUAGUCCACGCCGUAAACGAUGUCGACUUGGAGGUUGUGCCCUUGAGGCGUGGCUUCCGGAGCUAACGCGUUAAGUCGACCGCCUGGGGAGUACGGCCGCAAGGUUAAAACUCAAAUGAAUUGACGGGGGCCCGCACAAGCGGUGGAGCAUGUGGUUUAAUUCGAUGCAACGCGAAGAACCUUACCUACUCUUGACAUCCAGAGAACUUAGCAGAGAUGCUUUGGUGCCUUCGGGAACUCUGAGACAGGUGCUGCAUGGCUGUCGUCAGCUCGUGUUGUGAAAUGUUGGGUUAAGUCCCGCAACGAGCGCAACCCUUAUCCUUUGUUGCCAGCGGUUAGGCCGGGAACUCAAAGGAGACUGCCAGUGAUAAGCUGGAGGAAGGUGGGGAUGACGUCAAGUCAUCAUGGCCCUUACGAGUAGGGCUACACACGUGCUACAAUGGCAUAUACAAAGAGAAGCGACCUCGCGAGAGCAAGCGGACCUCAUAAAGUAUGUCGUAGUCCGGAUUGGAGUCUGCAACUCGACUCCAUGAAGUCGGAAUCGCUAGUAAUCGUGGAUCAGAAUGCCACGGUGAAUACGUUCCCGGGCCUUGUACACACCGCCCGUCACACCAUGGGAGUGGGUUGCAAAAGAAGUAGGUAGCUUAACCUUCGGGAGGGCGCUUACCACUUUGUGAUUCAUGACUGGGGUGAAGUCGUAACAAGGUAACC